AGAAAGGCUUUCAGCUACACCUGUUCAUACUACGCUGCUCUAUUGUCCUCCAUCAAAAGGCUUUUAAAAUCAUGCUUUUCAAUCGUGAACUUCAUUCUGAUACGUGCCAGGAACAUCGUCUCCCUUUAUACUUGGAAAACUCAAAGGUUUGGUAAGCUGUGCAGCUUCUCUGCAAGAACCCAGAAACCCCAUGAGUCAGCCUCAUUUCUUGGAAUGAGAAAAGGAUGCUUUUGUUGCAAGCCAUGUAGAGCAGCUCAAGAAAAGAGCAAGACAUUCACUUAAGUCACGGCCUUCUACACAAAGAUAAAAGCCCCAGCCAGCACAUUCCCAGCCUGCUCCAUGCCUGCAGCACAGCAGCUCCUGAACGUUAAGGAAAUGGAGGCCAAGGUUUAGCAGACACGCAGAGUUUGUCCACUGGAAGAGUUUUAAAUACAAGAGAUGAUGAAAAUAGCAGGCAAAGCUCCUAGGAAGAGCUACUGACAUAGCUUGUAAGGCAUAAACAAGAGCACCUGAUUUCAGACCAUGCACCGCUCUACCCCUCCAGGAUGGCCCCAGCACAGCAUCUGUACUCAGAGCACAG
ensembl:lncRNA